GAUGAACGCUAGCGGCAGGCCUAAUACAUGCAAGUCGAACGGAAUAUAGUUUUCGGAUUAUAUUUAGUGGCGCACGGGUGAGUAACACGUACAUAACUUACCCUCAAGAGGGGGAUAGCCUUGGGAAACUGAGCGUAAUACCCCAUAGUAUAUUGAACGGCAUCGUUUGAUAAUUAAAGCUACGGGCGCUUGAGGAUAGAUGUGCGUCUGAAUUAGCUAGUUGGUAAGGUAACGGCUUACCAAGGCGACGAUCAGUAGGGGGCGUGAGAGCGUGGCCCCCCACACGGGUACUGAGACACGGACCCGACUCCUACGGGAGGCAGCAGUAAGGAAUA
rnacentral:rRNA from 1 species